rnacentral:rRNA from 1 species
AGUGAACGCUGGCGGUAGGCCUAACACAUGCAAGUCGAACGGCAGCACAGUAAGAGCUUGCUCUUACGGGUGGCGAGUGGCGGACGGGUGAGGAAUACAUCGGAAUCUACUUUUUCGUGGGGGAUAACGUAGGGAAACUUACGCUAAUACCGCAUACGACCUACGGGUGAAAGCAGGGGAUCUUCGGACCUUGCGCGAUUGAAUGAGCCGAUGUCGGAUUAGCUAGUUGGCGGGGUAAAGGCCCACCAAGGCGACGAUCCGUAGCUGGUCUGAGAGGAUGAUCAGCCACACUGGAACUGAGACACGGCCCAGACUCCUACGGGAGGCAGCAGUGGGGAAUAUUGGACAAUGGGCGCAACCCUGAUCCAGCCAUACCGCGUGGGUGAAGAAGGCCUUCGGGUUGUAAAGCCCUUUUGUUGGGAAAGAAAAGCAGCAGGUUAAUACCCCGCUGUUCUGACGGUACCCAAAGAAUAAGCACCGGCUAACUUCGUG